rnacentral:tRNA from 10 species
GGGCGAGUAGAUCAACGGUAGAUCGCUACAUUGGCGUUGUAGAGGUUCUGGGUUCAAAUCCCUGCUCGUCCA